GCGUCGGUAGCUCAGCGGUAGAGCACUCGGUUUACACCCGAGCGGUCGGCGGUUCGAUCCCGUCCCGACGCACCC
rnacentral:tRNA from 1 species